rnacentral:rRNA from 1 species
CCCUUAGAUGUUCUGGGCCGCACGCGUGCUACACUGAGUAAAUCAAUGGGUAAGGGAACACGAAAGUGCAACCUAAUCUUGAAAUUUGCUCGUGAUGGGGAUCGACGGUUGCAAUUUUCCGUCGUGAACGAGGAAUACCUUGUAGGCGCGUGUCAUCAUCACGCGCCGAAUACGUCCCUGCCCUUUGUACACACCGCCCGUCGCUACUACUGAUUGGGUGUUCAAGUGAGAUGCUUAGACCCUUGUUGCAUGGUUCAUUAUUGUGCUCCGAAAGGAAAAAGUUUCAAGCUUGAGUGUCUAGAGGAAGUAAAAGUCGUAACA